rnacentral:lncRNA from 1 species
AAAAUUAUUACGUUUUACAAUGAACAUUUUGUUGGAAUAUUGUGUAAAAAAGGAGGAAUUAAUAUCGUUUAAAUCCCCAUUUCGAACGUAAUAUGUAUGGGAUUUUAUCAAAACUUCCAUGUUAGAAGUUUAAACCUGUUAAGAUUAUGAAUGACACACAAGUCGAUGUUUUUGGUGUUGUCAUUUAAAAGCAGUCUUCGUUGAGAACUAAUUACCGCCCCUUGUCUUUUUGUAAUCAACGUGGAAUUCGCAAUAGGAAUGGUUUAGUUUCGGAUCAUUUGGUUCUUUAACUAGGGUUUUCGUAUUAGAUUAUACCACAGCAGUUUGAUACUUAUAUUUUUCAUUGAAAUUAUACACUAUUGACAGAUAAUAAAUAUAUACAAACGUAAACGGCUUUGUAAACAUUGGAUUAACAACUUAAAUAUCCGUAUAUUUAAUUCAGAAAAACAUUGAAAGUGAGAUACCGAAACCCCCCGUUGCUAAUUGGAAAAGGUAUUAAGAGCCAUUACCUAUAAUCGAGUAUCUUAAUUCAUUGAAAUCGUUAUUGGAAAUAUAACAUUAUUAUAUAUUUGAGGUAAGUUCAAAUAUUUUAUUGUAAUUUAUUUUAAUAUGUUUUGCAAAAGUGUUGUCGUUUAAAUAACCUAUCGCAUUUCGGUUAAUACAAGCUCUUGUCAAUUUGCCAUGUUCAAGAUUAUAUCAAUAAAUUUGUGAAUGCUAGUGGUUUAAAACAAUAAAAUACAUUUAACACCGGUCAAUGUCAAAUGAUUCUUUUCAAUAACGGAAAUUUGAUAACUAGAGGAUUUUCGUAUUUCUUUUUGUUUAUGUUUUUUUUUUAAACUUUUUUUAAUGGUGUGGGGAGGAACAGUUUUGUAUGUAAACACAGUGAUCUUUGAAUUAAAACGAUGAAAAUGAUAUUAUCAGGGUUGAAGCUAUACUGGCGUACAUUUAUAUAGCCUGAAGCCUAGGAUAACACUUUUCUAAAGCAUAAGUACCGUUCAUAAGCUUUCUAAUAUUCACAGAGAGAGUUGUUA